rnacentral:tRNA from 1 species
AAGGACUUAAGUUAAAAAAACUAACAACCUUCAAAGUUGUAUUUAAAGAUCAGCCUUUAGGCCUUA